rnacentral:rRNA from 1 species
UACGAAGGGUGCUAGCGUUGUUCGGAUUUACUGGGCGUAAAGCGUGCGCAGGCGGCCUUUCAAGUCAGGGGUGAAAUCCCACAGCUCAACUGUGGAAUUGCCUUUGAAACUGUAAGGCUGGAGUCUUGGAGGGGAAUGCGGAAUUGCUAAUGUAGCGGUGAAAUGCGUAGAUAUUAGCAGGAACACCGGUGGCGAAGGCGGCAUUCUGGACAAGUACUGACGCUCAUGCACGAAAGCGUGGGGAUCAAACAGG